AUUAAAUUCAAAAAUAAAUAAAUUUUGUAAGAAAAAACUUAAUACUUUAUGCAUUUGGUACAUCACCAAAAAUUGCAUCAAGUAGUGUGAUAAACUGUAAAUAACGUUGAACUCGCGGGUUUUCCGGAUUGCCUCUAUACAUAUGAUAAAGUUUCUUCAAGAUAUCCAAACGAUUUUUAACACAUCUCCAACUCAAAUUUUUUUCAUAGUCGCAGCAAUACGGUCGAGCGUCGAGUCUGCUGGAUUUUGUUUACGCUUUCUGUUCCUGCUUACAUUUUUCACUUGAGUGUGUGUGGAAGAUCUCUCUUGUGAUGCAAAUGGCGGAUCCGAGUUAGCUGAA
rnacentral:sRNA from 1 species